rnacentral:rRNA from 1 species
AGUGAACGCUGGCGGUAGGCCUAACACAUGCAAGUCGAACGGCAGCACAGUAAGAGCUUGCUCUUACGGGUGGCGAGUGGCGGACGGGUGAGGAAUACAUCGGAAUCUACUUUUUCGUGGGGGAUAACGUAGGGAAACUUACGCUAAUACCGCAUACGACCUACGGGUGAAAGCAGGGGAUCUUCGGACCUUGCGCGAUUGAAUGAGCCGAUGUCGGAUUAGCUAGUUGGCGGGGUAAAGGCCCACCAAGGCGACGAUCCGUAGCUGGUCUGAGAGGAUGAUCAGCCACACUGGAACUGAGACACGGUCCAGACUCCUACGGGAGGCAGCAGUGGGGAAUAUUGGACAAAGGGCGCAAGCCUGAUCCAGCCAUACCGCGUGGGUGAAGAAGGCCUUAGGGUUGUAAAGCCCUUUUGUUGGGAAAGAAAAGCAGCAGGUUAAUACCCCGCUGUUCUGACGGUACCCAAAGAAUAAGCACCGGCUAACUUCGUG